UGUUGCUCUUCUUUCCGGGUCUUCUCCUUUCCCUUUAAUUCUCAAACGAUAGGUUGCUCAAUUUCUCAUCUCUACGACUGCUUUUUCUCUGUCUUUUAUUUUUUGCUUCUCGAAUACCGGGCAUUUCUUCCUAUUUCCUCGCAUUUUAGCACCCACUAAUGAAUGAUUCUGUUGUAUUUGCCAUCUUGGAGGUUUGUUUCGGUGGAUCAACUCUUGCAAGUCUUUGUCAUCUAAAAUACCAUUUUUUGAGAAAUUGUGUUCUUAGAUCUUUACAAUGAUAUUCAUCUUGGCAAGGGUUACAAAAGAGAUUGUGGAUUUAAGAUGAAUUAGUUCAGGCAUUAUAUGGAGAAGACUGCACUGCUUGCUCUUUGAUGUCAACUACUUGACAUCUUUGACUAAGGUCUUAUAAUUCUACUCAUUCUGGGGGGAAAUUACUCAGUCAACCCAAGCAAGGUAGCAACAUUCUAAUUCUCCAAAAUUAUAUGGUAAUUCAUCAACUAUAUUAUUUAGUUGUUAUGAUAUUACUUAUGUUGAGUUUAUGGAUCUUUAUUUUGAUAAUAUUGGAUUCCAUUUGAUACCAACUGCUUAUAUGUAUGUAACAAAAGCUUUGAAUAUGGACAGUUUGAUAAGGCUAGCUUAUUCAUGGGAAUGUCCAGUAGAGCCCUGUACUGUUGUCUUGAACUAUGUACAAUAAUUAAUCUUUUUUUUUUCAUAUUCGACCAAAAUUUAUAACACAACUGAAUCAUGCGAAGAACAUUUCACAAAAUUUGAUUGAAGCAGGGUUUGGUUUAAGGUACAUAAGCACAUAGAAGAGAGAAUCUAUUUUGCCCUCAUUAGAAUGCACAUUGGUGCUGAAAGAAUAUGUAUGAUAUGACCUUACCUAGAUCUUGCAAUUAUUAUCUAAUAUUGUGUUCAUUCUUGGGGUUGAAUAUUUACAAAUUCAUCCUCCUGAAAAUUGUCCACUGUACGAAGGUAUUGGAGGCUCUAAGAUUUUAGACAUGAGGCAAGUAAGUGAUAUUUGUAUGUGAUGUAAACUAGAUAAAUGAGUUACCAACAGUUAAUUGACUUGAUUUAUAAAUGACUUGAAUGACAAAAUAUUGAACUAGAAUAGAAUGCAUGGCACUCUUUUCUUAAUCUUAUUUUUUAAGUCAUUUGAUGUCUCCAUGUGUUAUAUGUCUGAAACGACUAAAUAAUGUUUUACUGUGUUUUUCUUUUGACUGAUGUUCUAAAAUACACACUUAUUUAUCAGUCAUGAAUUUGAUACAUUAUGUACUUAUACUAGAUAGUAGCGAUUAACAAUAUUUAUGAGUUGGCUCAAGCAUACUUUCAUUGUUAUGUCUGUACUAUGUAAAAUUAUUUCAAGGCCAGUUCGCUUGUUGUUUUUCUUUGUUAUUUUGUUUAGUUUAGUGAAAUAUGGUCAUUGCCUAUAGUGGAUGUAACUUGGAAUCUAAAAGUACAAUUGGCUUAAUACUGAUUGUGAAGAAACAGA